rnacentral:rRNA from 1 species
GACGAACGCUGGCGGCGUGCUUAACACAUGCAAGUCGAACGGAAAGGCCCUGCUUUUGUGGGGUGCUCGAGUGGCGAACGGGUGAGUAACACGUGAGUAACCUGCCCUUGACUUUGGGAUAACUUCAGGAAACUGGGGCUAAUACAGGAUAGGAGCUCCUGCUGCAUGGUGGGGGUUGGAAAGUUUCGGCGGUUGGGGAUGGACUCGCGGCUUAUCAGCUUGUUGGUGGGGUAGUGGCUUACCAAGCCUUUGACGGGUAGCCGGCCUGAGAGGGGUGCCGGCGACAUUGGGACUGAGAUACGGCCCAGUCUCCUACGGGAGGCAGCAGUGGGGAAUAUUGCACAAUGGGCGGAAGCCUGAGGCAGCAACGCCGCGUGCGGGAUGACGGCCUUCGGGUUGUAAACCGCUUUCGCCUGUGACGAAGCGUGAGUGACGGUAAUGGGUAAAGAAGCACCGGCUAACUACGUG